rnacentral:tRNA from 1 species
GGAUGUAUAGCUUAAUUGGUAGAGCCUCUUAUUGUCUCUAAGAUGAAUGUGAGUUCAAAUCUCACUAUGUCCG